CACGCCUCAGCCACCUUCACGCCGUCCUCCGAGGCUGCUGCGUAGCUUUACGCCUCCUUCCCCGCCAGGGUUUGCUCUCGUGCUUCUCCACACUCUCAGAACUUCGCUCUCUCCACAGGAAUGAAUACAGAUACUCUCCCGGGACAUUCACGUGAGCAAAGAAGAGACACAGUACUGGGCACUCCCUCCGCAUGCCACGUCUUUCUCCUACUCCUCCGAUUGAAAAAUUGAAACACUUGCCAGCACGGUCCACGUGAGCCUCUCAACACAGACUGCAUGACCUCAGAAAACAAGGAACGAUUGCUAAUAAGUGUUAAGAUCUAAAGUAACUUGAAAACUGACUUACCUGUCAUUUACCCAGAAGUCACUUAAGUAAACUCGAAGAUACAUAAUCACAUCAAGAUUACUAAAUUACAAUAGGCAGUAGAAUUUUAGGACACCGCUCAGUGUAAGUAAGGCAGGCCAACGGUUCUACAAGCGCAAGGAAAACCAUGAGUAAACCCCAGGAUCUACCCGUCAGGAGUCAAGUUCACGGCUGAACAACUCUGCAAGCAAACAAUAAAAAUGUAUGAAAGUUGUUCAUCUCACAGACGGCCACACAAAUGCUGUUCUGAAGGAACAAUUCAAAACACUUUGUGGAGGAGACCACCCCGACAAAAAGUGAUGAACUCAACUGCAUCUUCUUUAUUUUCUCAUCUAGUUGUUGGAGAUUUCAAGGAAUAGCUAAUUAAAGC
rnacentral:lncRNA from 1 species